UUUGCUUUGUAGAAAUGAUUCCUGGGUGUGAAUCAGCCCCAGCCCCAGCUCUGGUACCUUCAUGGGUUCAACCCUGCUGGGCUUCCCAGCAGCAGGGCUGGCUACAUCACGAACACUCCCACAUCCAGCGUCCUGCCUUUAUCUCCUCAGCAGAGUCCUAAGGAAAUAGUGGUUAAUGUAAUGCUCAGCCCUUCCCCUUUACCAGAACGUUUUCUCCGUGCUAAAGGCACAUUGUUUCUGGGAAAAUGCAUUUCCCCCCUGAGCUGGUGAAAAACUGAUGUGCUGAAAAGCCACCCUGCUGACCCUGCCAUCACAAGGCAGAGCAUGUGGGUGUGCUCCUGCUGCUGAGCUCAAGAGCCCUCCCUCAGCAUCCUGCCCAGCUUCCAGCUGCAGAAACAGUCCCUGUAUGAUGAGCAUUCCUCCAUCUCCCAUCUGUGCAUUCAAAUAGGAAAUGAGAAGCUCCUGUGUAGCCACUACUGGAGAGCUGACAUGCCAAGGCUGGAUAUGGCAGUGAGGAACAGCAAACCCCAGGGCCCAAAGGAAGUGCUCAGCCCAUAGGAGGGUGCUUUCUGCUCUACCACAUAGCACACCUAUGCCUCAGUUUCCCCACUUGCAAGAGGGAGGCAUGACCAUGCCACAGGGUUCUGAGGGGUAAUUGGGAUCUGAGAGGGAAAGCGGGUCCAGGGAUACAGGCAGCAUCACCAGCCCUGCUAGCAGCACCCUGCUACUGCCCUGAAAGCAGCCAAGAGCCCUAGGAGGCUCAGGAUGGUAGGUUCCAAUGGAGACCUGUGGGAUCUCACCACUGAACCCCUGUGGGAGCUAGAAGCUGGUGAGCUGAAAGGUCUAAGGACAGGGACAAGGACUGCAGGAGUCUUACUGUUCAUGGGCGGGUAGUGGGACACUGCAGGCAUCCCCAUCCCCGCCUACCUGCAGAACCCUGUUGCCUAUUUCUACAUCUCACUGCUCUCAUAGGUGUGAUGUUCAUCUCUCCCUACAGUGACCCACAAAGCCUCCUCCACCUUCCUUUGACUUGACACUGAUUAAUGACCAAAUGGAAAGCACCCAAUCCAUCCUCCACCACUAGCCCUGCUCUGCUUUUUCUCUUUUGUCCAUCUCAGGUCUCCUCUCCAGAUCCUGUCACCAUGGAAAUUCCUCCCAAGAGCCCUGACGGGAGUCGGAAGUCUCCACAGUCCAAGGAGCUGCUGACCAGUAACACAGCCAGCACCCUCUGCAUCAGCUCCCGGAGCGAGUCUGUCUGGACCACCACAUCCAGAAGCAAGUGGAACAUAUACCGCAAGCCGCUCAUUGUCAUGUCUGUUGGAGCAGGCGUCUUCCUCUUCGGGGUGGUCAUCACCAGCCUGACUUGCAUCCAAAGCAACAACAAAAAAUUCUACAAAAUGUGUGGCCCGGCUUUCCUGUCCCUGGGACUGAUGCUCCUUGUCUGUGGCCUGGUCUGGAUCCCCAUUAUCCGGAAGAAGCAGAAGCAGAGACAGAAGUCACAGUGUCUGCAGACCCUCAGGUCCUUCUUCUUCAACCGCUGAGGGCAGCCCAGGACCUUCCCGGGAAGGCUCCCCUCCUCUCUACCCACCUCUGUUGUUAGCUGUAGUGAGAACCACGUCCCUGUACUCUCCUAGAGGAUUUCAUCCCAUUAGGUCUCUUCCCUACAGGUGAAACGCACUGUAUCAGUCUCCAGUGGGAAAAUGAACUUUGUAUUUCAUCCAAGUAACCCCAGUGAAAAAGAGAUCAGGAUUUUGCAGCUGAGCCCCGCAUGGCAGGUUCCAAGCUCUCUGCAUCACCCUCCUGUCCAGUGAUCAACCCAACAUCACACACUGGGGAUGUAACCCAAGUAACCUGCUUUCACCCAGCAGCUUCUGCAAGAUGCAUCCGCAGAGAGGAACCAACCGGCUACAGAGUGCGAGUGAAGCCCGGUGUGAACAUUGGUGCCAGUAAACUGCAGCUCAGCUGUGGAAGCUGGGAGACCAGGGAUGGUUCAUCCAGGGUCACCAUGGAGGAGAAGCAGGACGAUGUAGUUCCAGAGCACUUUGUAGCAGUGGAGGCCGCCAGAACAGGCAGCACCAAAGCUCAGGAGGACGAGCUGUGAUGCCCAUGGACAAUGUCCUGUCAUUGAUGUGUUACAGCUGCUGGCUGAGACAUGGUUGCAAACUGGAUCUCACUCCUUGCUCAGUGUGGAGCAUUCACAAGCUUUAUUUAUUGCUCCAAAGGGUCAAGCUAACAGCAGCUCAGAGCCGAGGCAGAGGUUGCUCCAGAGCACUGUUUAAUGGCCACUGUACAGCCAACAUGUCCACCUCCUCCUGCAUUGCCCACUUUUCUGAGUCAUUUGUACUUUCAGUCUCUGCACCAUCCUGGAGCCACAAUCCCUUCAAGCUCUCUAAUAUGCCAGACACGCUGGAAGCUCUGCACAGCAUCAGGAGACACUGCAAAAGCAGAGGGUAACAGAUCCUGCUGCUCCAGGCCAACAGACACCCAGGAGGUCGGUUAAAAGGGAGAUGUGCUCACUGUAGUCAAGGAUCAUGAAGGUGUAGCUGUGGGAACUGUGCUCAGGACCAAGAGCUCAUUUCCUGUGGGACAGUAUUUAACCUCCUCC